rnacentral:RNase_P_RNA from 1 species
AGUAAGCGAGACGAUCGCGGCCCUUUUGCAGGGCUGAGGAAAGUCCGGGCACCGCAGGGCAAGGGUGCCGGGUAACGCCCGGCGAUGGCGACAUCAGGGAAAGUGCAACAGAAAUAAACCGCCCUUCGUUUUUUGAAGAGCAAGGAUGGAAAGGCGAGGCAAGAGCUCACCGGCUGUCUGGCAACAGACAGGCCCUGUAAACCCCACCCGGUGCAAGAUUGAAUUGGGAGCAUUCAACAGCGGCCCGCUGUGCUCCUUGUAAUCGCUUGAGCCGUCUGGCAACAGGCGGCCUCAGAUAGAUGAUCGUCCGGCAGGAAACUGCACGACAGAACCCGGCUUACUGCUUG